rnacentral:rRNA from 1 species
UACGGAGGGAGCUAGCGUUGUUCGGAAUUACUGGGCGUAAAGCGCACGUAGGCGGCUUUGUAAGUUAGAGGUGAAAGCCCGGGGCUCAACUCCGGAACUGCCUUUAAGACUGCAUCGCUUGAAUCCGGGAGAGGUGAGUGGAAUUCCGAGUGUAGAGGUGAAAUUCGUAGAUAUUCGGAAGAACACCAGUGGCGAAGGCGACUUACUGGACACA